CCCAGCACGAAUGCCUUGCUUGAUUCCACACUUAGUAGCAGCAGCAUCAACCAUAACAACAAAGAAGGAGGUUGCCUGACCCUGGCAACAACUGCCUUGACAAUAGACCUUGAGUUGCCCCUCCUCCUGCCUUACCCCCACCUACUAGAAAUAUCGCCUGACUUACCCAACCAUGCCAGUAUUGUGAACGCUUCAAUGUUGAUCAGCCCUACCGACGUCUAAACAACUUCUGUUAUAAGUGCGAGAGCAAUCAACACUUUAUGAGGGAUUGCCUUCAGAGGGCAAAGAAUGUGGUCAGACUUGUAGCACAAGGAUGUGUCUACCAUCUUAACGAGCCUGCUGCCCUUACAACUCCUACCAUUAUCUAGAGUAUGCUUUCUAUUCACAAUACCACAGCUCAAGCAUUGAUUGAUACAGGUGCUACCCACUCUUUUAUAUCUUGCUCUUUUUCUUGU
rnacentral:lncRNA from 1 species